UGAAUGUUGAUGAAGCCAUUUGCUAAGAAAUGACAAACAAUAGUUAGAUUAAACAAAACAAAACAGACAAGACAACUAAAGAUUUAACACAUUUUAGAACAUGAAAAAACAGAACAUCAACAUCAUCGCAUAGACAUGAACAAAAGUUAAAAAAAAACAAUCAUCUUUAAAGAUCAAUCAAGAUAAAUAAAACGUCACUUUUUAUAAGAAAAUGAAACAAC
rnacentral:lncRNA from 1 species